AUUGAAGUCAAAUAACCUAAAGAAGUAUACAAACAUAAAUAGAAAGUAAACUAUGAUUGGUAAUGGUUCGGUAUUCUUUUUUAUUCUACAAUUUAACUUAGAAAAUAAAUAAAAAAACAAAUAAUGAAUUCAUACGUAAGGGGAGGAACGUAUUAUUUUGUCUCUAAGUGCAAAUAUAUCUUUCGAAAUAAUCCAGAUAAAAUAUGUCACAGAUUGCCGAAGGCCGUAGAAAUGUGCAAGAAAUGGCUCGUUGCUAUUGGAAGAGAGGACUUAGAAAAUAAAACAUCUGAUUUCUUAAAUUUUUGUUUAUGCAUUAAAUAUUAUUGUAUUUUCUUUGUAUCUUUUCAAUUUUAAUAUAAUGAAAAUGAUUUGGUUAAAAGAUACUCUGUUUAAAAUUUUAAUUAAGAGAUUUCUCUAGUGUAAAAAUAAUUUUGAAAAUGUAAAUUUUUUUAUAAAUUGAUCGUAUACUUGAAAAUAAAAUGUUACGCUAUUUUUGAAACUACGAAAGUAUUUUGGUUAACGAUUUAAUUAUUUAACGAUGAGAUUUAACAAUUCCAAUUUGUUUAAAAAUUUUUAU
rnacentral:lncRNA from 1 species